UACUCAGUGUCCGAGUUAGGUGAGAGAUUGUAAAUCUCUUUAGGUUUAUGUCUAGACCUGAGUAA
rnacentral:tRNA from 1 species